ensembl:snoRNA
CUCCAAAGUGUUGAGUUCAGUUCAGGGAAGCUUCCUUGUUCUGUUAAUUAAACUUUGGGACAUUGAAAUUGGCUAAAGGAAAUGACUGAGUAGAGAGUAUUACUCUAUUCAUACACUUCCUAGUCUACAUCA